AAGACCUUCUCCUGCAAACAGGACAUUCCCGGGAGUCCUUAUCUUCCCAGUACUGCUGCAGACAGACUUUACAGAAGCUGUGGCUACACUUCAGGACCACAGGAUCCCUGUAGAUUUCGUAGCACACAGGACAGGAAAUUAACUGCCGACAUUAACUGCCACUCGGGCUGACUGGGAAUGCAUAGGAGUACUCCGCUGGAGUAAGUCGUGCCGUCUGAACAUCAUGCCGUAGCUUUUCUAUGUAUAUACCUGGCAUGUCCUGCCUUAUGCCUUGUUGUUUGUGUGCACUAUAUGUAUUGUAUAAAUAAAUAAAUAAAUAUUUAUAUGUUAAAAACA